AUGAGGGAGAAAUACCGUGGCCCGGAGCAAGUCCACGCCGCAAAUGGAGAAGGUAUGAGAAUUAGUCAUAUUGGUCACUCAAUUAUUAAAACCCCUCACCGAAAAAUCCAUCUUAGAAAAAUAUUGCAUGUCCCUAGAGCUUCCAUGAAUCUCCUUUCAGUUCAUCGCAUUGCCAUUGAUAACCAUGUCUUUCUUGAGUUUCACCCCUAUUUCUUUUUGAUUCGAGAUCAGGUCACGAAGAAAAUCCUCUAUCGAGGUAGAUGCGUUCGAGGGCUAUAUCCGUUGAUUCCCGAGCUUAGGAGAUUCAAUAAAACAACAUGUGUUGUCACCAAGUUAUCUUCAACCCGGUGGCAUGAUCGUCUAGGGCAUGCAUCUUUUUCUUUAGUAGAACGAGUGCUUAGGAAAAAUAAGCUCCCAUAUGUUGGAGAGCGUAAUGUUGAAACAGUUUGUGAUUCUUGCCAAAGAGCUAAAAGUCAUCAGUUGCCAUAUCCUGUUUCUAUGAGUGUUUCUACUAAACCAUUGCAACUUAUUUUCUCUGAUGUUUGGGGUCGUGCCCCCUUUUCUGUGGGUAGACACACUUAUUACGUAAGUUUUAUUGAUGACUAUAGUAAAUUCUCUUGA
rnacentral:rRNA from 1 species